rnacentral:piRNA from 1 species
UCCAGAGUGAACAGGACCCUGAGCUGGGCC